rnacentral:rRNA from 1 species
UUAAUAUAUAUUUUUUAUUAUUUUUAAAUAAAGUAUUUUUUUGUUUUAUUAAUUAUUAUUGAAGAAAUUUUUUUUAUUAUAGUUUAUUAGUACUGUGAAGGAAAUUUUUUAAUUAUUAAAAAGAAUAAUUUAAUUUUUGUACCUUUUGUAUCAGGGUUUAUUAAAAUAAUAUUAUAGAUAUAAUUUUCUCGAUUUUAAAGGAGCUAAUAAUUUAUAAAUUUUAUUGUUGAAUUAAUAUUUAAAAUUUAUUAUUUGAAAUGAAACGUUAUUCGUCUUUAAAUAUUUCUAGUUUCUAAAGAAAUGAAUUUAAUUCAGUUUCUUAAAGUAAAUAAUUAAUUUAAAUUAUUUUGUUUUAAGAAUAAAAAAUUUAAAGGGAUAAGCUUUUAAAUUUUUCUAUAAUAUUUUAUUAUUUGUUUUAGGUUGUAGGAUUGGAAUUUUUUAUCAAUAAAAGGAUGUUUUAAUUAACUUAAGUUAUUUUAAUAUUUAUAUUUUAUUUAGAUUAUUUAUUUAGAAUUUAUUUUUAAUUUUUUAAAAUAAGAAAUAAUGAUAAAAUUAGUAAUUUUAUUUGUUUAAUUAUAUUAAAAAUUUUAGAUUUUAUUAAGGAAUUCGACAAUUAAUUUUUUCGCCUGUUUAAUAAAAACAUGUCUUUUUGAUAAUGAUUUAAAGUCUAGUCUGCCCACUGUGAAUAUGAAGGGCCGCGGUAUUUUAACUGUGCAAAGGUAGCAUAAUAAUUAGUUUUUUUAUUGAAAACUGGAAUGAAUGGCUGGACGAGAGAAAUAGUGUCUCAAUAAAAAUUAAUGAAUUUUAUUUUUAAGUGAAAAAGCUUAAAUAAUUUUAAAAGACGAGAAGACCCUAUAGAGUUUAACAUAAAAUUUAUUAUAAUUAAUUGGAAUUUUUUUUUAUAAUAAUAAUUUUUGUUUAGCUGGGGUGGCUUUAAAAUUGAUUUAACUUUUAUUUUAUAAAACACUUAUUUGUGAUUAUUUGAUCCAUAUUUUUGAUUAAAAGAUUUAAUUACCUUAGGGAUAACAGCGUAAUCUUUCUUUAGAGCUCUAAUCAAUAGAAAGGAUUGCGACCUCGAUGUUGGAUUAAAAUUUAUUUUUGGUGCAGAAGCUAAAAUAUUAAGUCUGUUCGACUUUUGAAAUUUUACAUGAUCUGAGUUUAAACCGGUGUGAGCCAGGUUGGUUUCUAUCUUUAAAUAAAUUAAGUAUUUUAGUACGAAAGGACCAAAUAUUUAACUAAUAGUUUAAUUUUGAUUACUAUU